GCCCGAAAUGUAAAUCGAAUUGAUUAUUUGGCAUUUUAUUUGAUAUGUGAUAAUCUGAAAUUUAAUUGGCAAUAUUUAGGUGUGAAAUGGCAUUUAUGCCCUUGAAAAUGAAUAUGUGUGUGUUAAGCCUUAGGGGCAAAAUGGUCUUUUGACCUUUAUUGAUUUACUUUGAUAAAAAUGGUAUUUUGAGGAAAAACAAAUUAAUUUUCUGGUGAUUGUUUCCUCCUUGGAUGAACCCUUCCCCUCUCUCAAACCCUCUCUUAUUUUCUCUUUGAUUUGGUGAGAAAUUGGUUGGAUUUGAAGCUUAAUCUUGGUGGAUCUUUGUGCUAGCAUUUGAAUUGAAUUUUGAGGAUUACCGGCACCUGGUCAGGAGCACCCGGGGAUUUGGAAUCUCUACUAUUGCGGGACAACAGGAAAGGGUAAGGCAUUAGCUGAUCAGCCAUGAGUUUCAGGAGCAGGGCGAAGAAUGUACAUGUUCAUGCCACUUCAGACCAAGCGGGUUAUGGGUCUAAUAGUGUUGACUUUUGUAUUCUGUUUUGCCGCUUAGGUCGGCUAGUAAGAAAGAACUUGUAAUAAGUUUGUAAAUAUUUUUGGGAUCCCAACUAUUUUGAAAAGUUUUAAAUAUAUUACAAGUUUAUUUUCA